AUUGAACGCUGGCGGCAUGCUUUACACAUGCAAGUCGAACGGCAGCGCGGGCUUCGGCCUGGCGGCGAGUGGCGAACGGGUGAGUAAUACAUCGGAACGUGCCCAGUAGUGGGGGAUAGCUCGGCGAAAGCCGGAUUAAUACCGCAUACGACCUGAGGGUGAAAGCGGGGGAUCUUCGGACCUCGCGCUAUUGGAGCGGCCGAUGGCAGAUUAGCUAGUUGGUGGGGUAAAGGCCUACCAAGGCGACGAUCUGUAGCUGGUCUGAGAGGACGACCAGCCACACGGGGACGGGACCGCGCCCGGGACUGCUCGGGGGGCAGGCGGGGGGAAUUUUGGGCAAUGGGGGAAAGGCCUGAUCCAGCAGUGCGGGGUGGGAGAUGAGGCCCUUGGGAUUGAAAAGCACUUUGGGGGGAAAGAAAAAGGACUGUCCAAAUACCACGGUUAGAUGGCGGUACCCGCAGAAAAACCCCGGGCAACCUACGUC
rnacentral:rRNA from 1 species